UCAGGAUUUAUGGUCACCAUGAGGAGAGAAACCAAGGGCAGGAGGCAUAGGAUAAAGAACUUGGAGAGUUGAAAACACAGUUCAGGGACUCACAGGAAGCAUCAUGACCAACACUGCCAAUUCUCCUGGUAGGAUUCACUUCCAGGGAGCAGCAGGGACAAGAUUGGCAGCAAAGCUAUCGGGACCUGGAUGUGCUCAGAUGACAGGGCAGGGGAUGUGCUUCUUCAAGGAAGGACUGAAUUCAUAAGACUUUCUGAGAAGAAUAGUUCCAAGAAUACCCAGGAGAAUUCAAAGUGCGAAUAAUCCCAGACUGCGCUAUCUCCUUUGAAACUAAAAGAUUUAGAUCCUAAAUGGC
ensembl:lncRNA